CAGCCGCCGCGGGAAUACGGAGGGGGCUAGCGUUGUUCGGAAUUACUGGGCGUAAAGCGCACGUAGGCGGCUUGGUAAGUUAGAGGUGAAAGCCCGGAGCUCAACUCCGGAAUUGCCUUUAAGACUGCCGAGCUAGUAGGUGAGAGAGGUAAGUGGAAUUCCGAGUGUAGAGGUGAAAUUCGUAGAUAUUCGGAAGAACACCAGUGGCGAAGGCGGCUUACUGGCUCAUUCUAGACGCUGAGGUGCGAAAGCGUGGGGAGCAAACAGGAUUAGAGACCCCUGUAGUCCCUGUCUCUUAUAC
rnacentral:rRNA from 1 species